UGCUAGUCGCGCGGGUUGGACCCGCGGCGAACAGCUCAGUAACACGUGGCCAAACUACCCUGUGGAUCGGGACAACCUCGGGAAACUGAGGCUAACCCCGGAUACGGUACCCACGCUGGAAGACGCCGGGUAUCGGAAACGCUUCGGCGCCACAGGAUGUGGCUGCGGCCGAUUAGGUCGACGGUGGGGUAACGGCCCACCGUGCCGAUAAUCGGUACAGGUUGUGAGAGCAAGAGCCUGGAGACGGAAUCUGAGACAAGAUUCCGGGCCCUACGGGGCGCAGCAGGCGCGAAACCUUAACACUGCACGUCAGUGCGAUUAGGGGACUCCGAAUGCGAGGGCAUACCGUCCUCGCUUUUCCGCACGGUAAGGUCGUGCUGGAACAAGGGCUGGGCAAGACCGGUGCCAGCCGCCGCGGUAAUACCGGCAGCCCGAGUGAUGACCGCUAUUAUUGGGCCUAAAGCGUUCGUAGCCGGCCGGACAGGUCCAUCGGGAAAUCCACGUGCUCAACGCGUGGGCGCCCGGUGGAAACCAUCCGGCUUGGGGCCGGAAGACCCAGGGGGUACGUCCGGGGUAGGAGUGAAAUCCCGUAAUCCUGGACGGACCGCCGAUGGCGAAAGCACCCUGGGAAGACGGACCCGACGGUGAGGGACGAAAGCUGGGGUCUCGAACCGGAUUAGAUACCCGGGUAGUCCCAGCCGUAAACGAUGCCCGCUAGGUGUGGCUCCGG
rnacentral:rRNA from 1 species